GAUGAACGCUGGCGGCGUGCCUAACACAUGCAAGUCGAACGGAGUUACUUUGGUGAAGUUUUCGGAUGGAUCUGAUUUAACUUAGUGGCGGACGGGUGAGUAAUGCGUGAGCAACCUGCCCUCCAGAGGGGGACAACAGUUGGAAACGACUGCUAAUACCGCAUAAUGUAUUCGGAAGGCAUCUUCUGGAUACCAAAGGAGAAAUCCGCUGAGGGAUGGGCUCACGUCUGAUUAGUUAGUUGGUGAGGUAACGGCUCACCAAGACUGCGAUCAGUAGCCGGACUGAGAGGUUGAACGGCCACAUUGGGACUGAGAUACGGCCCAGACUCCUACGGGAGGCAGCAGUGGGGAAUAUUGGGCAAUGGGCGAAAGCCUGACCCAGCAACGCCGCGUGAAGGAAGAAGGCCUUCGGGUUGUAAACUUCUUUUAAGAGGGACGAAGAAGUGACGGUACCUCUUGAAUAAGCCACGGCUAACUACGUG
rnacentral:rRNA from 1 species